UACACAUCCAUACACAUUCAUAUAAGUAUCCAUACAAUAGAGAAAAUAUACACAUCUAUACAAUCACAAAUAUCAAGUGUUCACCUACACACACCCAUACAUAUUCAUACAAAAAUCAUUUCUGCCUACAGUCCAUACAAUCACUUGUUCACAUCUAUACACACUUAUAUAAUUAUUGCAAAAUUCUUUAUACGAUAUAGAAAAUCCA
rnacentral:lncRNA from 1 species